GAACGAACGCUGGCGGCAUGCCUAACACAUGCAAGUCGAACGAGACCUUCGGGUCUAGUGGCGCACGGGUGCGUAACGCGUGGGAACCUGCCCUUAGGUUCGGAAUAACUCCCCGAAAGGGGUGCUAAUACCGGAUAAUGUCUUCGGACCAAAGAUUUAUCGCCUUUGGAUGGGCCCGCGUUGGAUUAGCUAGUUGGUAGGGUAAAAGCCUACCAAGGCGACGAUCCAUAGCUGGUCUGAGAGGAUGAUCAGCCACACUGGGACUGAGACACGGCCCAGACUCCUACGGGAGGCAGCAGUGGGGAAUAUUGGACAAUGGGCGAAAGCCUGAUCCAGCAAUGCCGCGUGAGUGAUGAAGGCCUUAGGGUUGUAAAGCUCUUUUACCCGGGAUGAUAAUGACAGUACCGGGAGAAUAAGCUCCGGCUAACCCCGUG
rnacentral:rRNA from 1 species